rnacentral:rRNA from 1 species
UGUGAGCUCGAUGAGUAGGGCGGGACACGUGGUAUCCUGUCUGAAUAUGGGGGGACCAUCCUCCAAGGCUAAAUACUCCUGACUGACCGAUAGUGAACCAGUACCGUGAGGGAAAGGCGAAAAGAACCCCGGCGAGGGGAGUGAAAAAGAACCUGAAACCGUGUACGUACAAGCAGUGGGAGCACGCUUCGGCGUGUGACUGCGUACCUUUUGUAUAAUGGGUCAGCGACUUAUAUUCUGUAGCAAGGUUAACCGAAUAGGGGAGCCGAAGGGAAACCGAGUCUUAACUGGGCGUUAAGUUGCAGGGUAUAGACCCGAAACCCGGUGAUCUAGCCAUGGGCAGGUUGAAGGUUGGGUAACACUAACUGGAGGACCGAACCGACUAAUGUUGAAAAAUUAGCGGAUGACUUGUGGCUGGGGGUGAAAGGCCAAUCAAACCGGGAGAUAGCUGGUUCUCCCCGAAAGCUAUUUAGGUAGCGCCUCGUGAAUUCAUCUCCGGGGGUAGAGCACUGUUUCGGCAAGGGGGUCAUCCCGACUUACCAACCCGAUGCAAACUGCGAAUACCGGAGAAUGUUAUCACGGGAGACACACGGCGGGUGCUAACGUCCGUCGUGAAGAGGGAAACAACCCAGACCGCCAGCUAAGGUCCCAAAGUCAUGGUUAAGUGGGAAACGAUGUGGGAAGGCCCAGACAGCCAGGAUGUUGGCUUAGAAGCAGCCAUCAUUUAAAGAAAGCGUAAUAGCUCACUGGUCGAGUCGGCCUGCGCGGAAGAUGUAACGGGGCUAAACCAUGCACCGAAGCUGCGGCAGCGACACUAUGUGUUGUUGGGUAGGGGAGCGUUCUGUAAGCCUGUGAAGGUGUACUGUGAGGUAUGCUGGAGGUAUCAGAAGUGCGAAUGCUGACAUAAGUAACGAUAAAGCGGGUGAAAAGCCCGCUCGCCGGAAGACCAAGGGUUCCUGUCCAACGUUAAUCGGGGCAGGGUGAGUCGACCCCUAAGGCGAGGCCGAAAGGCGUAGUCGAUGGGAAACAGGUUAAUAUUCCUGUACUUGGUGUUACUGCGAAGGGGGGACGGAGAAGGCUAUGUUGGCCGGGCGACGGUUGUCCCGGUUUAAGCGUGUAGGCUGGUUUUCCAGGCAAAUCCGGAAAAUCAAGGCUGAGGCGUGAUGACGAGGCACUACGGUGCUGAAGCAACAAAUGCCCUGCUUCCAGGAAAAGCCUCUAAGCAUCAGGUAACAUCAAAUCGUACCCCAAACCGACACAGGUGGUCAGGUAGAGAAUACCAAGGCGCUUGAGAGAACUCGGGUGAAGGAACUAGGCAAAAUGGUGCCGUAACUUCGGGAGAAGGCACGCUGAUAUGUAGGUGAAGUCCCUCGCGGAUGGAGCUGAAAUCAGUCGAAGAUACCAGCUGGCUGCAACUGUUUAUUAAAAACACAGCACUGUGCAAACACGAAAGUGGACGUAUACGGUGUGACGCCUGCCCGGUGCCGGAAGGUUAAUUGAUGGGGUCAGCGCAAGCGAAGCUCUUGAUCGAAGCCCCGGUAAACGGCGGCCGUAACUAUAACGGUCCUAAGGUAGCGAAAUUCCUUGUCGGGUAAGUUCCGACCUGCACGAAUGGCGUAAUGAUGGCCAGGCUGUCUCCACCCGAGACUCAGUGAAAUUGAACUCGCUGUGAAGAUGCAGUGUACCCGCGGCAAGACGGAAAGACCCCGUGAACCUUUACUAUAGCUUGACACUGAACAUUGAGCCUUGAUGUGUAGGAUAGGUGGGAGGCUUAGAAGUGUGGACGCCAGUCUGCAUGGAGCCGACCUUGAAAUACCACCCUUUAAUGUUU